rnacentral:rRNA from 1 species
UACGGAGGGUGCAAGCGUUAUCCGGAUUCACUGGGUUUAAAGGGUGCGUAGGCGGGUAAGUAAGUCCGUGGUGAAAUCUCUGAGCUUAACUCAGAAACUGCCGUGGAUACUAUUUGCCUUGAAUAUUGUGGAGGUGAGCGGAAUAUGUCAUGUAGCGGUGAAAUGCUUAGAUAUGACAUAGAACACCAAUUGCGAAGGCAGCUCACUACACAAUCAUUGACGCUGAGGAGCGAAAGCGUGGGGAGCGAACAGG